UACGGAGGAUGCAAGCGUUAUCCGGAUUUAUUGGGUUUAAAGGGUGCGUAGGCGGGAAAAUAAGUCAGUGGUGAAAUCCUACAGCUUAACUGUAGAAUUGCCGUUGAUACUGUUUUUCUUGAGUAUGGUCAAGGAAGGCGGAAUGUGUAAUGUAGCGGUGAAAUGCUUAGAUAUUACACAGAACACCAAUUGCGAAGGCAGCUUUCUGGCCCAUUACUGACGCUGAGGCACGAAAGCGUGGGGAUCGAACAGGAUUAGAUACCCCGGUAGU
rnacentral:rRNA from 1 species